UAGGGAAUCUUCGGCAAUGGGGGCAACCCUGACCGAGCAACGCCGCGUGAGUGAAGAAGGUUUUCGGAUCGUAAAGCUCUGUUGUAAGAGAAGAACGUGUGUGAGAGUGGAAAGUUCACACAGUGACGGUAACUUACCAGAAAGGGACGGCUAACUACGUGCCAGCAGCCGCGGUAAUACGUAGGUCCCGAGCGUUAUCCGGAUUUAUUGGGCGUAAAGCGAGCGCAGGCGGUUUAAUAAGUCUGAAGUUAAAGGCAGUGGCUUAACCAUUGUUCGCUUUGGAAACUGUUAAACUUGAGUGCAGAAGGGGAGAGUGGAAUUCCAUGUGUAGCGGUGAAAUGCGUAGAUAUAUGGAGGAACACCGGUGGCGAAAGCGGCUCUCUGGUCUGUAACUGACGCUGAGGCUCGAAAGCGUGGGGAGCAAACAGG
rnacentral:rRNA from 1 species